CCUACGGGAGGCAGCAGUAGGGAAUCUUCGGCAAUGGGGGGAACCCUGACCGAGCAACGCCGCGUGAGUGAAGAAGGUUUUCGGAUCGUAAAGCUCUGUUGUAAGAGAAGAACGAGUGUGAGAGUGGAAAGUUCACACUGUGACGGUAUCUUACCAGAAAGGGACGGCUAACUACGUGCCAGCAGCCGCGGUAAUACGUAGGUCCCGAGCGUUAUCCGGAUUUAUUGGGCGUAAAGCGAGCGCAGGCGGUUAGAUAAGUCUGAAGUUAAAGGCUGUGGCUUAACCAUAGUACGCUUUGGAAACUGUUUAACUUGAGUGCAGAAGGGGAGAGUGGAAUUCCAUGUGUAGCGGUGAAAUGCGUAGAUAUAUGGAGGAACACCGGUGGCGAAAGCGGCUCUCUGGUCUGUAACUGACGCUGAGGCUCGAAAGCGUGGGGAGCAAACAGGAUUAGAUACCCCGGUAGUC
rnacentral:rRNA from 1 species